rnacentral:rRNA from 1 species
CCUACGGGUGGCUGCAGUCGAGAAUAUUCGACAAUGGGCGAAAGCCUGAUCGAGCGACGCCGCGUGCAGGAUGAAGUGCUUCGGUAUGUAAACUGCUUUUGUAGUCUAGAAAGUUUAUUGAUCGGACUAAGAAUAAGAGGUUGCUAAACUCGUGCCAGCAGCAGCGGUAAUACGAGUGCCUCGAGCGUUAUCCGGAAUUAUUGGGCGUAAAGGGUGUGUAGGCGGUCUUGUUAGUCUUCUGUCAAAUUCUUCGGCUUAACCGGGGACUCGCAGGGGAAACGGCAAGACUCGAGGAUGCGAGAGGUUUACGGAACUCAUAGUGUAGCGGUGAAAUGCGUUGAUAUUAUGGGGAACACCAAAUGCGAAGGCAGUAAACUGGAGCACUCCUGACGCUGAAACACGAAAGCGUGGGUCGCGAAUGGGAUUAGAUACCCGAGUAGUC